rnacentral:misc_RNA from 1 species
CUAUAGUUUUGAUGGAAAUACUACUUUUAGCUCUCCUAGCUUAAAUAGUGGUUUGUCAGCAGGAGCACAU